rnacentral:tRNA from 1 species
GGGGUCGUAGCUCAAAUGGUAGAGCGCGCGCUUAGCAUGCGCGAGGUACCGGGAUCGAUACCUGGCGACUCCA